rnacentral:snRNA from 1 species
GGAUGUGAGGGUGAUCUGGCUGUGAUAUCUGUCCCCCAUUGAUUGCCAGGGCUGAUUCAGCUGAUCUGGAUGCCUAGGCAGGUGUCCCCUUCUCUGCUCACCACUCCAUGUGCAUCCCUCCUGAAGCAGCACUGUGGGUUGAAGAGGACAGCCUUCCCCAGUAGAGGAGGACUGUUCUUUGAUCCAAGAUAUCUGGGUGGCCAUGCUAUUCCACUAUAACCUCCAAACAAGCUCCCAAGAUUGAGCCUCAGGGGCCCUCAUAAGUAGAUAGUAGUUGGUACAGUUGGAGAAGUAUAGGUGGGAAGAACAGAG